rnacentral:rRNA from 1 species
UUGACCUCGGUGCAGGU